CUGCGCUCAAACAAUCCUUCUGCCUCAAGCCUCCUGAGUAGCUAGGACCACAAGCGCACACCACUAUACCCAGCUAAUUUAGAGAUGGGGUCUCACUAUGUUUCUGCAUAUGGUUUUUAUUCUGCAGUUGUAUAAUGUUCCUAGGUGUGGGUUUAUUUUUACUUCCCCAGUUUGAGACUCAUUCUGCCCGAAUUUGAAUCUUCACAUAUUUUAUCAUUUUGUAAAAUUCUAAACCAUUUCUAAUCUCUUCAAAUUUUGUCUACUCUCUCAAGGCCAGUUAGAUAUGUCUUCCAUGUCUCUUUACCUUUAAUAUAUUUUCCAUCUGACUAUGUAGUUUAUCUUUUUUUUUUUACUUUAAUCUGUUGCAUUCUGAUCCAGUUUAGUAAUUUUCCCUUCAGAUGUGCCUAAUCUGUUAAUUAACUCCCACUGAGUGGGGUUUUUUUGAGAUGGAGUUUCACUCUGAAGCCCAGGCUGGAGUGCAGUGGCGCAAUCUCGGCUCACUGCAACCUCCACCUCCCUGGUUCAGGAGACUCUCCUGCUUCAGCCUCCCGAGUAGCUGAAUUACAGGCAUGUGCCACCACACCCAGAUAAGUUUUGAUUUUUAGUAGAGACAGGGUUUUGUCAGGUUGGCCAGGCUGCUUGAACUCCUGAUCUCAAGUGAUCCACCCGCUUCGGCCUCCCAAAAUGCUGGGAUUACAGGCAUGAGCCACUGCACACAGCCCCCACCGAGUUUUUUUUUUAUUUCUAGUUUUUCAAAUUUGCCAGUCUUUUUGAAUAGUAUCUCCUUCUUUUCUCAUGUUUUAUAUUUAAAACUUUUUUAUGUCCAUCAUCACUUUAAACAUACUUAUUUUGUCAUCUAUAACCAAUAAUUCCACUAUCUUAUCAGAAAUCAAAUACCGUUUAUGUAAGUUGACUCCCAUGAGUUCUAAAUUGCCAUUGUGAGGUCAUCUUCGGUUAGGCUUUAAUUUGUUGCAAAGUUGUGCAGCUCAGGGUCAGGAAGAGUCCCUCCAGAAAGGAGGAUUUGUUACUGUGAAUCUCUUUGUUAACUAACCUCUUUCCCCACUGAAAUAACUUUUUUCAAUAACAUGAUUUUAACAACAUAAUCUCUCUAUGCCAGAACAGAUAUAUUUUGAAUGUAAGUCAAUAUUUUCUUGAGCAAA
rnacentral:lncRNA from 10 species